GCUGGGCAUGGUGGCACAUGCCUGUACUUCCAGUGACUUGGGAGGCUGAGACAGGAGGGUCACAAGUUCAAAGCCAGCCUCAGCAACUUAAUGAGACCCUGUGUCCU
rnacentral:sRNA from 1 species